UAAAUUAAAGGGUAAAAAAGAUUCCCACUCCCACCUCCCCCAAUAGGAGUCCCACUCUCACUUCUCACUCCAAAAAUGAGUGGGGCCUACGGAGUGAGAUUUCCAAUCCGUGACCAUUUUAAGUAAAUGCUAGAGUGGAAGAAAUCCACACUACUCACUCCCACUCCAGCAAGUAAACAGAGCCUUAGGUGCUAUUGUGCUAUUGUUAUUGUUGUAUGCACAAAGGCCUUAAAAAAAAAUUCACAAAGGCCUUAAAAGAUCCCUUAAAGCUGAUACUGAGUCAAUCAAGCAGAUACUAAACUGUACAGGGAUAGCGACGCUGAUCACCCAAGGAAGCAUUCUCAUACGCAGCACAGCACCUAUCUCUUAUAGAUUUUCUGAGUGUUGCAGGUAUCAGGGAGUCCACUCUCUAUCUGCUACGUUAGCCCAGCUCCACCACUGUUUGUGUUUAGAUGCUGAAGUUUUUAUUUUUUAUUUUUUUUUUCCAUGCAGACAAUUAGACACAUUUCCAAGCUGGAUGGUUUUAUAGUUAAUCGAACAAUAACUCCAUUAAACCACAUUGAAUUGAAAUUGAUGGUUUAAUAGUGUGUUCAUUUUUUUUUAAAAAUAAAGGUGCCCAUAUGGGAAUAUAUACGUGCGUGUAUGUGUGUAAUUAAUCAUUUCUUAGCGUAGGCAUCCUCACUGUAUUAAAUUGAAAAUGCUAAUAAAAUAUUAAAA
rnacentral:lncRNA from 1 species